rnacentral:rRNA from 1 species
AUACGGAGGGGGUUAGCGUUGUUCGGAAUUACUGGGCGUAAAGCGCACGUAGGCGGACUGGAAAGUUGGGGGUGAAAUCCCGGGGCUCAACCCCGGAACUGCCUCCAAAACUUCCAAUCUAGAGACCGAGAGAGGUGAGUGGAAUUCCGAGUGUAGAGGUGAAAUUCGUAGAUAUUAGGAGGAACACCAGUGGCGAAGGCGGCUCACUGGCUCGAUACUGACGCUGAGGUACGAAAGCGUGGGGAGCAAACAGGAUUAGAAACCCUUGUAGUCC